AUGGGUAAAGAAGCACCGGCUAACUACGUGCCAGCAGCCGCGGUGAUACAUAUGGCGCGAGCAUUGUCCGGAUUUAUUGGGCAUAUAGGGCUCGUAGGUGGUUGAUCGCCUCGGAAGUGUAAUCUUGAUGCUUAACCCUGAUCGUGCUUUCAAUACGGUUUGACUUGAGGAAGGUUACGGGAGAAUGGAAUUCCUGGAGUAGCGGUGGAAUGCGCAGAUAUCAGGAGGAACACCCAGUGGCGAAGGCGGUUCUCUGGACCUUUCCUGACGCUGAGGAGCGAAAGCGUGGGGAGCGAACAGGCUUAGAUACCCUGGUAGUCCACGCUGUAAACGGUGGGUACUAGGUGUGGGGUCCAUUCCACGGGUUCCGCGCCGUAGCUAACGCUUUAAGUACCCCGCCUGGGGAGUACGGCCGCAAGGCUAAAACUCAAAGGAAUUGACGGGGCCCCGCACAAGCGGCGGAGCAUGCGGAUUAAUUCGAUGCAACGCGUAGAACCUUACCUGGGUUUGACAUGGAUCGGGAGUGCUCAGAGAUGGGUGUGCCUCUUUUGGGGUCGGUUCACAGGUGGUGCAUGGCUGUCGUCAGCUCGUGUCGUGAGAUGUUGGGUUAAGUCCCGCAACGAGCGCAACCCUUGUUCACUGUUGCCAGCACGUUAUGGUGGGGACUCAGUGGAGACCGCCGGGGUCAACUCGGAGGAAGGCGGGGAUGACGUCAAGUCAUCAUGCCCCUUAUGUCCAGGGCUUCACGCAUGCUACAAUGGCUGGUACAGAGAGUGGCGAGCCUGUGAGGGUGAGCGAAUCUCGGAAAGCCGGUCUCAGUUCGGAUUGGGGUCUGCAACUCGACCUCAUGAAGUUGGAGUCGCUAGUAAUCGCAGAUCAGCAACGCUGCGGUGAAUACGUUCCCGGGGCUUGUACACACCGCCCGUCAAGUCAUGAAAGUUGGUAACACCCGAAGCCGAAGGCCUAACCGUUGUGGGGGAGCCGUCGAAGGUGGG
rnacentral:rRNA from 1 species